GGAGGAUGGCUCAGUGGUAGAGCGCUUGCCUCGCAUGCAUGAGGCCCUGGGUUCAAUUCCUCAGCACCA
rnacentral:tRNA from 1 species